GAUGAACGCUGACAGAAUGCUUAACACAUGCAAGUCUACUUGAAUUUGGGUUUUUAACUUAGGUUUGGGUGGCGGACGGGUGAGUAACGCGUAAAGAACUUGCCUCACAGCUAGGGACAACAUUUAGAAAUGAAUGCUAAUACCUAAUAUUAUGAUAAUAGGGCAUCCUAUAAUUAUGAAAGCUAUAUGCGCUGUGAGAGAGCUUUGCGUCCUAUUAGCUAGUUGGUAAGGUAAAGGCUUACCAAGGCGAUGAUAGGUAGCCGGCCUGAGAGGGUGGACGGCCACAAGGGGACUGAGAUACGGCCCUUACUCCUACGGGAGGCAGCAGUGGGGAAUAUUGGACAAUGGAGGAAACUCUGAUCCAGCAAUUCUGUGUGUGUGAAGAAGGUCUUCGGAUUGUAAAACACUUUUAGUUGGGAAGAAACAAUGACGGUACCAAC
rnacentral:rRNA from 1 species